rnacentral:rRNA from 1 species
GACGAACGCUGGCGGCGUGCUUAACACAUGCAAGUCGAACGGAAAGGCCUCUUUCGGGGGGUACUCGAGUGGCGAACGGGUGAGUAACACGUGAGUAACCUGCCCUUGACUUUGGGAUAACUUCAGGAAACUGGGGCUAAUACCGGAUAGGAGCUCCUGCUGCAUGGUGGGGGUUGGAAAGUUUCGGCGGUUGGGGAUGGACUCGCGGCUUGUCAGCUUGUUGGUGGGGUAGUGGCUUACCAAGGCUUUGACGGGUAGCCGGCCUGAGAGGGUGACCGGCCACAUUGGGAUUGAGAUACGGCCCAGACUCCUACGGGAGGCAGCAGUGGGGAAUAUUGCACAAUGGGUGGAAGCCUGAUGCAGCAACGCCGUGUGCGGGAUGACGGCCUUCGGGUUGUAAACCGCUUUCGCUCAUGACGAAGCUUUGUGUGACGGUAGUGGGUAAAGAAGCACCGGCUAACUACGUG